AGUGAACGCUGGCGGUAGGCCUAACACAUGCAAGUCGAACGGCAGCACAGUAAGAGCUUGCUCUUACGGGUGGCGAGUGGCGGACGGGUGAGGAAUACAUCGGAAUCUACUUUUUCGUGGGGGAUAACGUAGGGAAACUUACGCUAAUACCGCAUACGACCUACGGGUGAAAGCAGGGGAUCUUCGGACCUUGCGCGAUUGAAUGAGCCGAUGUCGGAUUAGCUAGUUGGCGAGGUAAAGGCCCACCAAGGCGACGAUCCGUAGCUGGUCUGAGAGGAUGAUCGGCCACACUGGAACUGAGACACGGUCCAGACUCCUACGGGAGGCAGCAGUGGGGAAUAUUGGACAAUGGGCGCAAGCCUGAUCCAGCCAUGCCGCGUGGGUGAAGAAGGCCUUCGGGUUGUAAAGCCCUUUUGUUGGGAAAGAAAAUCAGCAGGUUAAUACCCCGCUGUUCUGACGGUACCCAAAGAAUAAGCACCGGCUAACUUCGUG
rnacentral:rRNA from 1 species